AAAGGGAAAAUAAUCUGGAAAACUUUACUGGAAGCUUCAAUAGGAUCGAAUGGCAAACAAAAAGACCAUAUAUCUAAUUUAGUUUUCAAUAAUUAAGCUUCAUUAAUGUUGAAACGCUACUUGGGCUACCGAUUUUUGAUAAUCCUCCCGACACUGUUAUAUGAAUAGGAUUCAAGCCAAACAAUUGCACCAAAAUAAAGGUUCAUGAACUCUCUUAUUCCA